rnacentral:rRNA from 1 species
UACAGAGGGUGCGAGCGUUAAUCGGAAUUACUGGGCGUAAAGCGCACGUAGUCGGCUUUGCAAGUCGGUUGUGAAAUCCCCGGGCUCAACCUGGGAACUGCAUCCGAGACUGCAUUGCUAGAGUAUGGGAGAGGAAAGCGGAAUUUCUGGUGUAGCAGUGAAAUGCGUAGAUAUCAGAAGGAACAUCAGUGGCGAAGGCGGCUUUCUGGACCAGCACCGACGUUCAGGCACGAAAGCGUGGGGAGCAAACAGG